rnacentral:sRNA from 1 species
UAAGGUUACUUGUUUUAUAGUUUUAUGAAAUGACCCCUUGAUUCAGGCUUUUGAUACAUUAAGAAUUUUAAAACGCACGAUAUGUGCAAGGAGGUUUCAUAUUAUGAAACAAGGUACUGUUAAAUGGUUCAACGCUGAUAAAGGUUACGGUUUUAUCACUACUGAAGACGGUGACGUAUUCGUUCACUUCUCAGCUAUCAACAAAGAAGGUUUCAAGACUCUAGAAGAAGGCGAAAAGGUUACAUUGGACGUUGAAGACGGCGACCGUGGACCACAAGCUGCUAACGUUACUCCUGCAUAAGGAUAACCUCUUAGUUAACUUUUAGUUUAAAAAGAGAUCAAAAACACCCGAGAUUUUCUCGGGUGUUUUUUU